UACGUAGGUCCCGAGCGUUGUCCGGAUUUAUUGGGCGUAGAGCGAGCGCAGGUGGUUUAUUAAGUCUGGUGUAAAAGGCAGUGGCUCAACCAUUGUAUGCAUUGGAAACUGGUAGACUUGAGUGCAGGAGAGGAGAGUGGAAUUCCAUGUGUAGCGGUGAAAUGCGUAGAUAUAUGGAGGAACACCGGUGGCGAAAGCGGCUCUCUGGCCUGUAACUGACACUGAGGCUUGAAAGCGUGGGGAGCAAACAGG
rnacentral:rRNA from 1 species